AGCCCUUGGUUUAAGUGCAUUUUGAAAAGAACCCUAGAGCUCAGGUAGAGCUCAUCAGUGUCCGCUUCCCGGCCCGCAUCCCCAGCCGGAGUGUGCGAGCGCCGUCGCGUCAGCCCUUCUUCCCCAUCGAUCCCCCAAGCUCCUCCACGGGUGCAGUCUGGUUUUCAUUUUUGAUUAAAUAUGGGAAGCAGCCCAGCACCAUUUUUGGAUAUUGG